GCACCAUUUUUUUUCAGAAUUGAGCAGAGAGGACAUGUGUCAGGGUUUUUAGCCCCUAUUGGGAUUAAAGGCAUGCACCACGGGGCUGGGGUUAUGAAGGCUCUUAUCCAAGUCCUUGUAGGCAUGAUUCUUUUCAGAACUGAGCAGAGAGGGCGUGUGUCAGGGUUUUUAGCCCCCUCUGUUUUCUCCUGACCUGCGGGAGAAAUGGCGAAAGCAUGCCCUGACUAGGACGAGCCACGAGAGGCAAAGGUCGACUGGCUGCCCACACCCAGCCCUCCCUCACUGGAGGACAAUCAGAUGCGCCUGGGAAACCAGUCAAAGCAGGAUCUCAUUUAUUGAGGAAGUACACACAGAUAAUAUAGUGCACAGGAGCCAAUCAGGAUAAAGUUCAGAGGGGUGGAGUGAGUUCACAUGUCCACCCAUCACAUGGUCUGUAAGAGAAGGCACGAGAUGUCCAUGAGGGCCAAAGAGUCCUGGACCUUCCUGGAGGUGGUCUGUUUUUUCUGUCACUACCCACAGCACCGCCUCCUGGCUGAUCGCCAGGUGCCAUCCCAGCCACUUGUGCGGCCCCAAGAUGGGAAGCAGGCAGCAAGUCAUGCCCUACAGGCAUGCACAUGUUCUGGCCUCAUGGAAACUGCUAGACCUUUCCUGAUUCCGGUCUACUUGCUUCUCAUCCAGGCUUUAAUGCUUCAAGAAUGGACAGAUGGGUUUUGUGGCCCCAGACGUUUUGGGGCAAGGAGUGAGGUGGGUGCUGGCAUAGUUAGGGCAACCCGUGGAGCCCCCAAGGAGAUGCAUUAGUGGGUGUGGUGGUUGCUGAAGCUUGGGCCGGUGUUUGACUGCCCUUGGACUAUGGCCGUUGGACGGUGCUACAUGCUCAGGCACCGGCCCUCAUCAGGAAGCUUUGCACUUCCCUGGGCCAUCCACCUGGAGGAUGGGACUGGAGGCUCAUGGGUAUUAUGCUCCUGAGGACCAGGUCAGGCCAGAGUGCAGGUGGGGGUCAGUGGUGGAGGGAGUGGUGGGAAGGAAACCAAGGGGUUAGCAGCCAGGGGUUGCAGCUGACACCACCAGGACCCCUCAUUUCCAACCUCAAGAAGGUCCCUGCAGGCAGGGGCCUGGGGUAGGCAGAUCCUGGAGCUUGGCCUCCCAGCUGCCUCCUGGCCUCCUAUUGCUCUGGGCCUUACUUUCUUCACCUGUAAAAUGGGAACCAGCUGCUUCCUCGGG
rnacentral:lncRNA from 1 species